rnacentral:rRNA from 1 species
AUGGCUCACCUCAGAAGCCUGGUUGCGUUCUUGUGCGUGAUGCUGGCCUCCCUCAUGUUCGUCGCACAGGCCGUGCUCGCCGCCAGAGGUGAUUUAAGCAACGUGAAGCGAGAUGGUGUGAGGGGAACCUGGGCGUCCCCUUCCUACCAGGUGCGGCCGGGGCCGCUCCCGCGCUAUCCUCCAAAUGCUUUCCCUCGUGAGCACAAACGCCGGUUUCAUAGUGUUUGUAUGAGCCGACUCCCGUUUUCCAAUUUUGGAGCUCUACAUCUUAUCCAAGAAGCUGAGAUUUGCCAUCGGGUCCUUUUGAGACUUUCAUCGCAAACCGGUCGGAGGCAACCAGUGGACUUGUACCGUUUGAAUCAGUUCUCCUUGCCUCUGGAUGUCCAAGCUAUUUGUCGUAUACGGCUAUGUCCACGUUUUGGGGAUGAUUUCAUUGCUUGGGAACCCGAGAAGAAUGGCCAAUUCACAGUUCGGAGUGCUUACUGGCUACCUACGGGGGAGCCCUAUGCUCCUUCAUUAGCUUCUACAAACAGCGCCCGUGAUGGACACAUGGAGUCUGUGGCAGAGAGGAUGAAGACGUUCUUCAUGUCUUAUGUGCUUGUGAUAAUGCGCGUCGGCUGUGGCGAGCUAUGUAGUCUCAGGCCUAUGGGCCAAUGGGGGUUUACCCUGGUGAGCGAAAUGAUUCUGAUGGGCCAUCCCUGGGCGAACAUUAAGGAAGGGGUGAGAGACUCGUUGGUUCGCCUCCCCGACGGCCCGUCGCUAGCUGUUGGGGUCCUUUGUAAUUGCAAGGGCAUAUAA